rfam:Ciona savignyi cont_30047, whole genome shotgun sequence.
GUCGUCGUGGCCGAGUGGUUAAGGCGGCAUACUUGAAAUCUGUUGGGCUCUGCCCGCACAGGUUCGAAUCCUGUCGGCGACG